rnacentral:rRNA from 1 species
UGAACGCUAGCGGCAGGCCUAACACAUGCAAGUCGAACGGUAACAGAAAAAGCUUGCUUUUUGCUGACGAGUGGCGAACGGGUGCGUAACGCGUAUGCAACCUACCUUUUUCUAAGGAAUAGCCCAGAGAAAUUUGGAUUAAUACCUUAUAAUAAUAUUCAUUCGCAUGUUUGAAUAUUUAAAGCUUUUGCGGAAAAAGAUGGGCAUGCGUGACAUUAGUUUGUUGGUGAGGUAACGGCUCACCAAGACUACGAUGUCUAGGGGUUCUGAGAGGAUGAUCCCCCACACUGGUACUGAGACACGGACCAGACUCCUACGGGAGGCAGCAGUGAGGAAUAUUGGUCAAUGGACGAAAGUCUGAACCAGCCAUGCCGCGUGAAGGAUGACGGCCCUACGGGUUGUAAACUUCUUUUGUAUAGGAAGAAACCCCCCUACGUGUAUGGGGCUGACGGUACUAUACGAAUAAGCACCGGCUA